AAACAUAAAAUAGAUUUACUAUACUUAUUUACGGCUUAAGGAGAUUUGUGUUUA
rnacentral:tRNA from 1 species